CAUAGGAAAAUUAUUUUACUAGUAUAAGCCAAAAACAGAUUACAAAAUAGUAUGACAUGUAGUGUAUAAAAUAUAACCCAAGCAAAUCAACUGAAUGUUUACCAAAACAUUAAAUGUUUUUUGCCAAAUGGUGGAUUUUAGGGUGAUUUUUACUUGUUUAUUCUUUUUGUUUGUGUCCAAAUCUACAAUAGUUAUAAAUUUCAUUUUACAAAUACUAAAAAGUUAUUUUCACUUGGGAAAUUAACUGAGUUUCCACAGAAUGUUUAAAAGCAUUCAGCCAUUAAAAAUAAAGUUUCACAGGGUGCUGAGUGGCUUAGUUGGUCUGGUGUCCGACUUCGGCUCAGGUCAUGAUCUCGCAGUUCGUGAGUUCGAGCCCCACAUCAGGCUCUGUGCUGACAGCACAGAGCCUGGAGCCUGCUUCAGAUUCUGUGUCUCCCCCUCUCUCUGCCUCUCCCCUGCUUGCGCUGUCUCUGUCUCUCAAAAAUAAAUGAACAUUAAAAAAAAUUUUAAAGUUU